rnacentral:rRNA from 1 species
UACGAAGGGGGCUAGCGUUGUUCGGAAUUACUGGGCGUAAAGCGCACGUAGGCGGACUAUUAAGUCAGGGGUGAAAUCCCGAGGCUCAACCUCGGAACUGCCUUUGAUACUGGGGAUCUCGAGUCCGGGAGAGGUGAGUGGAACUGCGAGUGUAGAGGUGAAAUUCGUAGAUAUUCGCAAGAACACCAGUGGCGAAGGCGGCUCACUGGCCCGGAACUGACGCUGAGGUGCGAAAGCGUGGGGAGCAAACAGG